UUUGAAAACUAAUUUAUACUUUCACAUACAUAUGCGUAGUUGCUAGCAAAUUGCGUUUACUUUCUUGUUCACUUAGCUUCACACUUUAGGUGUAUGUGUGUAUAUAUUGUGUACUUUAGUCAUAGGAAACGUUUUUAUUUUUCGAAAUGAUAUAGAAAAAUAAAUGCAGAGAACACUAUUUAGCAUACAUAAUUUUAAGCUUUUAGCUUCUUUUCGUAUAUGUAGUCAUUUUUGCAUUAAAGUUAAUUUGCUUUUUCAAAUAAAUAGCAAUUGUUUUUUGCAUGUGUUUUUAUAUUUAUUUAGAUUUUAGCAUUCAGGCGCGUUUUACUAGGCCUAAACAGCGCAUGCUCUAAGGCUUUCUUGCAAACCAUUUAAUAUUUAGUUUGAUUUUAAUUUUG